UACGGAGGGUGCGAGCGUUGUCCGGAAUCAUUGGGCGUAAAGGGCGCGUAGGUGGCGGGACAAGCGUGCGGUGAAAGCUCGGGGCUCAACCCCGAGUCGGCCGUGCGAACUGUCUUGCUUGAGCACUGUAGAGGCAGGCGGAAUUCCGGGUGUAGCGGUGGAAUGCGUAGAGAUCCGGAAGAACACCGGUGGCGAAGGCGGCCUGCUGGGCAGUGCUGACACUGAUGCGCGACAGCGUGGGGAGCAAACAGG
rnacentral:rRNA from 1 species